ACUCAAAUGAAUUGACGGGGGCCCGCACAAGCGGUGGAGCAUGUUGUUUAAUACGUCACUAACCGUAGAACCUUACCAGGUCUUGACAUCUGUGGAAUCCGGGGGAAACUUUGGAGUGCCCGUAAGGGAGCCACAAGACAGGUGUUGCAUGGCUGUCGUCAGCUCGUGUCGUGAGAUGUUGGGUUAAGUCCCGCAACGAGCGCAACCCUCAUCCAGUGUUGCUACCAGGUUAAGCUGGGCACUCUCUGGAAACUGCCCGUGCAAGCGGGAGGAAGGUGGGGAUGACGUCAAGUCAGCAUGGCCCUUACGACCUGGGCUACAAACAUGCUACAAUGGCGCGUACAGAGGGCAGCAAACUCGCGAGAGCAAGCCAAUCCCAAAAAGCGCGUCUCAGUUCGGAUUGGAGUCUGCAACUCGACUCCAUGAAGUCGGAAUCGCUAGUAACCGCAGGUCAGCUAUACUGCGGUGAAUACGUUCCCGGGCCUUGCACACACCGCCCGU
rnacentral:rRNA from 1 species